rnacentral:lncRNA from 1 species
UUUUUUUUUUCUUUUUUCUUUUUUUUGGGGGGAGAGGUGAUUUUCAUUCCCACUGUUCCCUAGUGAGCACCAAAGCUCCCUCACUGCGAUUUCUGAGUGGUGGCAGAAACAACCGGGAAUAAUACCCACCCCAUCCCCAGCCCCAACUGUCCUUCCCCAGAGGCAUGAAACAGGAACAAAAUGGACCGGCCUUGUGGGGUUCAGCGCUAGUUUGCUGCAGGACUAGCGGAUCUAGAGGAGGCCUCUCGUGAAGGGCACAACACAACCUUGAAGGAAAGAAGCCUGGUGAGAACCCACCAACUCCUCCACCACUGCCAGGGGCAGAUGACGCGCUGGGCCCCAGCCCUGCAGAGACUCACUCGGAGGGCAGUGGAGGCGGCAGGCCCUGGGGGCUUGCUUUCCUGGGCUAAUUGCCAAGUCUUGGAUCAUGGGACCUCGUCUCCAGGGGCUCCUGGGCGGCUCAGUCGGUUAGGUGUCUGCCUUUGGCUCAGGUCAUGAUCCUGGGGUCCUGGAAUCGAGCCCCAAGUCAGGUUCCCUGCUUAGUGGGGAGCCUGCUUCUCCCUCUGCCUCUGCCUCUCCCCUACUCGGGUGCUCUCUCUCUCUCUCUCUCUCUCUCUCUCUCAAAUAAAUAAAAGCAGGAGGUGGGGGACCUGAUCUCCAGGGUCAGCUGCCACAUUUACCAGGCCCUCCUGAUCCAAAGAGCUCAUUAGUACAACUCCAGUACAAGCAGAGCUCCCUUACAGUGGCCUGUCUCAACAACUUUCAAGCCAGAAGCCCCAGCCUCAGGGGCUCCUUCCUCCCUCCUCACCAGCCCCUUCCCACGACCCCCUAUGUAACAACUGCAUUCAUUUGCUAUCGGGAACCUACUCUACUUGGCACUGUUCUAGACACUGGAGAUAAGAGCAUGAACCAGCCAUGGCCCCAACUCCUGGGCUCACAGCCCCACGAGGGGGCCCAAUGUAGAACCCACCAGUGACCUCACAGCUGGAGAGCGCUGUGAUGGGGGGCAUGCAGAGCACUGCAAGAGCACAGCAGAGGGCCCGAGGGUUCCUCAGGUGGAGGUGAGGAAAGGCAGAGUGUCUUCCAGGCCAUGAGGAGGGCAUGGACCAGAUCCUGACAGGUGGAACUUAAAGUUCAGGGUGCCAACUGGUUAGCAUUUGGGCUAGGGAGCUGCUGGAGGCAGGAAGUGGCCAGAGCUCGUCAAGCCUCCUAAGUGAUUUUAAAGAGCCUGAAUUUAUCCCAAGAGCAGCACAGAGCCUUCCAAGGCAGUGACCUAAUCAGAUGUGUGACUGAGGAGAAGAGUUGUCUGUAGAUGGGAGACGAAGCAGCCAUCCAGGAGGCCAGUUCCCAAGGAGGCAGGGGCGGGGGGCACUGAAGAGACAGUGAUGAAGGGGCAGGAAGGACUACAUCUGUACACAUCGUAGCACACGGCAAUGAGUCACCACAGGGAAUGGCAGGCAGCCGGGACCAAGCACCCUUGCUGAUAAUUACUGAGCACUUACUGUGUGCUAGCCGCUGGGACAAGCACUAGCUGCAACAUCUCACUUAAUCCUACAACAAUCUGGGAAACACAUAUUGUUCUGAUCGCCACUUUACACGUGCACAUACUGAGGCUCGGAGCAUCUAAUCCCUUGGACUUACCCUAAGUCAAAGGGCCAGCAAGUAAGAGGACCAGAAUGAUUCCGUUUCUGGGCAACCGAGUGGGUGUGGGUGCCAUUGUCCUGAGAGGCAAGCCAGCAGAGGAACAGAUCUGAAGGGGCAAAGAAGAAGUCAGUGACAGGCACGUAGUUUGAGGACCUGGAGCACAUUGAGGGGGCAAUAUCAAUCUGGGGGGCAGCGGACUAUGUGGGUCUGAAACCCAAGGGUGUGAGCUAUGGACACAGGAGACUUUUAUGUUUAGAGACCAGAAGCCACAGGCUUGGAGAAAGAGAUCCUCUGGGGCACACGUGUAGAAGAAGCACGGAGGCCAAGGACGGAACUCUGGGAAACACCAACAGGCCGGAGGUGGGCUGAGCAGGACUGUGUAGGAAAACAGGAGUCAGAGCAGGCCACUGCCACCUUGACUGCAGAAGAAAGAACGAUGACCCGGUCAAAUCCCCGCAUAAUCACGCUAGUGACAGAGACCCUGGCAACACACUGAUGAUUCAGGCCAGCAGAAGAGUUCUUAUCUAUGGAAUGCUUUUAGCACGAUGAACCCUAUCUGUCUAGGACUACUUAUGGUAAACAAACCUGGACCCUGUGGAUUUAUGGGGCACGACUCCCUGGGAAAUGUUGUGUAAGCCAGGUAACUAUCAGAGAAUAAAAUGGAGAUAUGUCAUGGCCAAAUAGCUCCCUUUUUAGCAAGAGAUGCCUUGCACGUAUCACAUAGAGACCUCUUUUGACAAACCCAAGGCAGAGCACUUCCUAAUGUGGCAAGAAAGGCCCUGGGGAGCAGUAUUGGUGGUUCUAGACCUCAUGCUUUACCUGUGUCUCACAAUUAUUUGUAUCCUCGCAAUGAUUAGUAAAGCUUAAUACUAGGUAAGACCUCUGAUUCCUAGGAGCUUGGUUUGACAAUCUGACCCUUUGUAUUUUAUCUCCAGCACAGAAACUUACUAACAUUUGUCAUGAUCUUUCAAAUUUUCUGGGACUGAGCCAGGCUUGAGAAGUGGCUACUUGAUCUUGCUGAUGAGUGAGUAUCUAGAGACAGGAGAGGAGCAACGAAGGGCUUUGUGUGCUGGCCUAAGAUUUUGUUCAAGCAGAAGCAAGAGGACAACAGGCCUGAAUGUAGGGGAGUGGUAAGGUUAGACGGAAGCUCUGAAGAGGCUCCUGGGUGACUGUGCGGAAACCUGAUGGGAGAAAGCAAGCUUGGCCGCAGAGAACCCACGUAGGGGCUCAUCUGGAAAAAAAAAUCAUGGAGCCCUGGACAGCACAGUGGCAGUGGGAAUGAAGAGCAACUGGAGAAUUUGAGACCCAUUUAGGAGUUAAGAAAAUAUAGAACUUAGAAAUUGCUUGGGUCUUUGAUUGGCAGCAGCGAGAAAAGGUGGGAGGGGGGGAGUCAAAGCUUCUCAUUUGGAUAAGUGGGUGGUUAAUGGUGCCAGUGACAGGGAAGGGGAACAUGGGGACAGGCAAGCUGGGAGAAGAUGAGAGAUUCUGCUCUGAACAUUUCAAGUGUCUCUGGCACAGCUUCAUGGAGCUGUCUUGUA